UACAGAGGUCCCAAGCGUUGUUCGGAUUCACUGGGCGUAAAGGGUGCGUAGGCGGUCGGAUAAGUUUGAUGUGAAAUCUCCGGGCUUAACCCGGAAACUGCAUUGAAUACUAUUCGGCUUGAGGUCUGGAGGGGGGACUGGAAUUCUCGGUGUAGCAGUGAAAUGCGUAGAUAUCGAGAGGAACACCAGUGGCGAAGGCGAGUCCCUGGACAGGUCCUGACGCUGAGGCACGAAAGCUAGGGGAGCAAACAGG
rnacentral:rRNA from 1 species